GACGAACGCUGGCGGCGUGCUUAACACAUGCAAGUCGAACGGAAAGGCCCUGCUUUUGUGGGGUGCUCGAGUGGCGAACGGGUGAGUAACACGUGAGUAACCUGCCCUUGACUUUGGGAUAACUUCAGGAAACUGGGGCUAAUACCGGAUAGGAGCUCCUGCUGCAUGGUGGGGGUUGGAAAGUUUCGGCGGUUGGGGAUGGACUCGCGGCUUAUCAGCUUGUUGGUGGGGUAGUGGCUUACCAAGGCUUUGACGGGUAGCCGGCCUGAGAGGGUGACCGGCCACAUUGGGACUGAGAUACGGCCCAGACUCCUACGGGAGGCAGCAGUGGGGAAUAUUGCACAAUGGGCGGAAGCCUGAUGCAGCAACGCCGCGUGCGGGAUGACGGCCUUCGGGUUGUAAACCGCUUUCGCCUGUGACGAAGCGUGAGUGACGGUAAUGGGUAAAGAAGCACCGGCUAACUACGUGCCAGCAGCCGCGGUGAUACGUAGGGUGCGAGCGUUGUCCGGAUUUAUUGGGCGUAAAGGGCUCGUAGGUGGUUGAUCGCGUCGGAAGUGUAAUCUUGGGGCUUAACCCUGAGCGUGCUUUCGAUACGGGUUGACUUGAGGAAGGUAGGGGAGAAUGGAAUUCCUGGUGGAGCGGUGGAAUGCGCAGAUAUCAGGAGGAACACCAGUGGCGAAGGCGGUUCUCUGGGCCUUUCCUGACGCUGAGGAGCGAAAGCGUGGGGAGCGAACAGGCUUAGAUACCCUGGUAGUCCACGCUGUAAACGGUGGGUACUAGGUGUGGGGUCCAUUCCACGGGUUCCGUGCCGUAGCUAACGCUUUAAGUACCCCGCCUGGGGAGUACGGCCGCAAGGCUAAAACUCAAAGGAAUUGACGGGGCCCCGCACAAGCGGCGGAGCAUGCGGAUUAAUUCGAUGCAACGCGUAGAACCUUACCUGGGUUUGACAUGGAUCGGGAGUGCUCAGAGAUGGGUGUGCCUCUUUUGGGGUCGGUUCACAGGUGGUGCAUGGCUGUCGUCAGCUCGUGUCGUGAGAUGUUGGGUUAAGUCCCGCAACGAGCGCAACCCUUGUUCACUGUUGCCAGCACGUUAUGGUGGGGACUCAGUGGAGACCGCCGGGGUCAACUCGGAGGAAGGUGGGGAUGACGUCAAGUCAUCAUGCCCCUUAUGUCCAGGGCUUCACGCAUGCUACGAUGGCUGGUACAGAGAGUGGCGAGCCUGUGAGGGUGAGCGAAUCUCGGAAAGCCGGUCUCAGUUCGGAUUGGGGUCUGCAACUCGACCUCAUGAAGUCGGAGUCGCUAGUAAUCGCAGAUCAGCAACGCUGCGGCGAAUACGUUCCCGGG
rnacentral:rRNA from 1 species